CACAAGCGGUGGAGCAUGUGGUUUAAUUCGAAGCAACGCGAAGAACCUUACCAGGUCUUGACAUCCCUGACAACCCGAGAGAUCGGGCGUUCCCCUCGGGGGACAGGGUGACAGGUGGUGCAUGGUUGUCGUCAGCUCGUGUCGUGAGAUGUUGGGUUAAGUCCCGCAACGAGCGCAACCCUCGACCUUAGUUGCCAGCAUUCAGUUGGGCACUCUAAGGUGGCUGCCGGCUAAAAGUCGGAGGAAGGUGGGAUGACGUCAAAUCAUCAUGCCCCUUAUGUCUUGGGCUUCACGCAUGCUACAAUGGCCGGUACAACGAGUUGCGAGUCGGUGACGGCGAGCUAAUCUCUUAAAGCCAAUCUCAGUUCGGAUUGUAGGCUGCAACUCGCCUACAUGAAGUCGGAAUCGCUAGUAAUCGCGGAUCAGCACGCCGCGGUGAAUACGUUCCCGGGCCUU
rnacentral:rRNA from 1 species